rnacentral:rRNA from 1 species
AGUGAACGCUGGCGGUAGGCCUAACACAUGCAAGUCGAACGGCAGCACCGUAAGAUCUUGCUCUUACGGGUGGCGAGUGGCGGACGGGUGAGGAAUACAUCGUAAUCUACUUUUUCGUGGGGGAUAACGUAGGGAAACUUACGCUAAUACCGCAUACGACCUACGGUUGAAAGCAGGGGAUCUUCGUACCUUUCGCGAUUGAAUGAGCCGAUGUCGGAUUAGCUAGUUGGCGGGGUAAAGGCCCACCAAGGCGAGGAUCCGUAGCUGGUCUGAGAGGAGGAUCAGCCACAUGGGAACUGGGACAGGGUCCAGAGUCCUACGGGAGGCAGCAGUGGGGAAUAUUGGACAAUGGGCGCAAGCCUGAUCCAGCCAUACCGCGUGGGUGAAGAAGGCCUUGGGGUUGUAAAGCCCGUUUGUUGGGAAAGAAAAGCAGCAGGUUAAUACGCCGCUGUUCUGACGGUACCCAAAGAAUAAGCACCGGCUAACUACGUG